rnacentral:tRNA from 1 species
GGAGCAAAAAGUAUACGAUCCCCGAACCUUCCGCAGGACACUGAAGCGC